GGCCGACUAGCUCAGUUGGUUAGAGCGUGGUGCUAAUAUCGUUCCUCCUCUGGAGGGUUAUGUUACGCCAAGGUCGUCGGUUCGACCCCGGCGUUGGCCA
rnacentral:tRNA from 1 species